UUAUUGCUUGAGAAUACAAAU
rnacentral:miRNA from 3 species